GGCCAGACUCCUACGGGAGGCAGCAGUGAGGAAUAUUGGUCAAUGGGCGCGAGCCUGAACCAGCCAAGUCGCGUGAGGGAUGACGGCCCUACGGGUUGUAAACCUCUUUUGUCGGGGAGCAAAUUCCGUUACGUGUAACGGAGUCGAGAGUACCCGAAGAAAAAGCAUCGGCUAACUCCGUGCCAGCAGCCGCGGUAAUACGGAGGAUGCGAGCGUUAUCCGGAUUUAUUGGGUUUAAAGGGUGCGCAGGCGGAGGUGCAAGUCAGCGGUCAAAUUGCGGGGCUCAACCCCGUACUGCCGUUGAAACUGCAUCCCUUGAGUGCGCGAGAAGUAUGCGGAAUGCGUGGUGUAGCGGUGAAAUGCAUAGAUAUCACGCAGAACUCCGAUUGCGAAGGCAGCAUACCGGCGCGCAACUGACGCUCAUGCACGAAAGCGUGGGUAUCGAACAGGAUUAGAUACCCGGGUAC
rnacentral:rRNA from 1 species